CCGUUGGACUCUAUGAUCGCUGGGACGCCUAUAGGCCCCGGCCGUUAUGUCUAUGGUGCAUGAGGCCUAGAGCGGCUCCUCUCGCGGAGCACUGUGGGGCAGCCAUGGCGGCUCUCGGGGGGUUGGGUUACGGUCUCUGAGGCAACUGCUGGUAGGAGCGGGGCUGAGCCGGCUCUGCAUCGCGCGGAGCCGCUCCCCGUAGGCCUCAUGUGCCCCCGCCGCGGCCCGGCAGCCCGUUCCUCCGCAGUGUGGUAGCGACCGGCCGCGAUGGCCGAGGCAGGCGACGCGUCGCUGCACCGGCUGGCGGGGACCGGCCCCGAGGCCGAGGCGGGCGGGCUGGUCCCGCGGGCGCGCAGCGCCGCCCCCGAGCAGCACGUCUUCAAGGCGCCGGCGCCGCGGGCCUCGCUGCUGGGCCUGGACGUGUUGGCGGCACAGAAACGGCGCGAGCGUGAGGAGGAGGGGACGGGCGGAAAACGGUCCCGGGUGUCCUCCUACAGGGACUGGGAGGAGGGCCGCGACGAGGCAGGCAGCCCCGACGAGGAGGAGGACGAGGAGGAGGAUCGGAGCGGCCGCAGCGCCCGCAAGGACAGGCAUUACCGUUCCGUCCAUGUGGAAACACCCUCCUACACAGGUGGUGUCAGUGAGGAGUUUUGGGAACGCAGCCGGCAACGGGAAAGAGAGCGUCGUGAACAUGGUGUCUUUGCCUCCUCAAAGGAGAAGGAACGAAAGAAGGAGCACAGCCGGGAUCGAGACCAUGAUCGUAAACGGGACCGUGAGGACUGGGACAGAAGUCGUCACAGCAGCAGAUCAGAAAGAGAUGGCUCAUCAGAGCGGAACAGCAGGAGGAGUGAACCAGAGAGUCCCAGGCAUCGUCCCAAAGAUGCAGCCACGCCGUCUCGCUCCAGCUGGGAGGAAGAUGAUAGCAGUUACAGCAGUUCACGCCGCUCACAGUGGGAAUCUCCUUCACCCACACCUUCCUAUCGAGACUCAGAGCGCAGCCACCGGGCAUCGCGGGACACAGAUCGGAGAGACAGGGACAGGUCUGUAAGGAGCAGGUAUUCAGAUAAGACACCAUUGCCCACCCCGUCCUACAAAUACAAUGAGUGGGCUGAUGACCGGAGGCACCUGGGGUCCACACCACGACUGUCCAGAGGCAGAGGGCGGCGUGAGGACGGGGAGGAGGGCAUUGCCUUUGAGACGGAGGAAGAGCGCCAGCAGUGGGAGGACGACCAACGGCAAGCUGACCGGGACUGGUAUAUGAUGGAUGAAGGCUACGAUGAGUUCCACAACCCCUUGGCCUACUCCUCUGACGAGUAUGUGAAGAAGCGGGAGCAGCACUUGCACAAGCAGAAGCAGAAGCGCAUCUCUGCACAGCGGCGGCAGAUCAAUGAGGAUAACGAGCGUUGGGAGACAAAUCGCAUGCUGACCAGCGGUGUGGUUCAUCGGAUUGAAGUGGAUGAAGAUUUUGAAGAGGAUAACUCAGCCAAAGUGCAUCUGCUGGUGCAUAACCUGGUGCCUCCUUUCCUAGAUGGGAGGAUAGUCUUCACAAAACAGCCAGAGCCAGUCAUCCCUGUAAAGGAUGCCACUUCCGACUUGGCCAUCAUAGCCCGAAAGGGCAGCCAAUUGGUGCGCAAGCACAGGGAGCAAAAGGAGCGUAAGAGGGCUCAGCAUAAACAUUGGGAGCUGGCAGGCACAAAACUGGGAGACAUUAUGGGGAUCAAGAAGGAGGAGGAGAAGGAUGAGAUGGUGACAGAAGAUGGCAAAGUGGAUUACAGGACUGAGCAGAAGUUUGCUGAACACAUGAAAGAAAAAAGUGAAGCAAGGAGUGAGUUUGCCAAGAAGAAGUCUAUUCUGGAACAGAGACAAUAUCUGCCCAUCUUUGCUGUGCAGCAGGAGCUGCUUUCCAUCCUCAGGGACAACAGCAUUGUGAUUGUGGUAGGGGAGACGGGGAGUGGGAAGACAACUCAGCUGACGCAGUACCUCCAUGAGGAUGGCUACACAGACUAUGGCAUGAUUGGCUGCACCCAGCCCCGCAGAGUGGCGGCCAUGUCAGUCGCCAAGAGGGUCAGUGAAGAGAUGGGAGUGCGUCUGGGAGAGGAGGUGGGCUAUGCCAUCCGCUUUGAAGAUUGCACGUCAGAGAACACAAUAAUCAAAUACAUGACAGAUGGGAUCCUCCUUCGUGAGUCGCUACGGGAGGCUGACCUGGACAACUACAGUGCUAUCAUCAUGGAUGAGGCUCACGAGCGCUCACUCAAUACUGAUGUGCUCUUUGGCCUGCUUCGGGAGGUGGUAGCGCGACGCUCGGAUCUGAAGCUUGUUGUCACUUCUGCCACCAUGGAUGCUGAUAAAUUUGCCUCCUUUUUUGGGAAUGUUCCCAUUUUCCACAUUCCUGGGCGCACCUUUCCUGUUGAUAUUCUUUUCAGCAAGACACCACAAGAGGAUUAUGUGGAGGCUGCAGUGAAACAAGCUUUGCAGGUCCAUUUGUCUGGUGCUCCUGGAGACAUCCUUGUCUUCAUGCCUGGUCAGGAGGAUAUUGAGGUGACUUCAGAACAAAUUGUGGAGCACCUUGAGGAGCUUGAGAAGGCACCUGCUCUUGCUGUACUCCCUAUCUAUUCUCAGCUGCCGUCAGACUUACAGGCCAAGAUCUUCCAGAAGGCUCCAGAUGGGGUCAGGAAGUGCAUUGUUGCCACUAACAUUGCAGAGACCUCACUGACAGUGGAUGGUAUCAUGUUUGUUAUUGACUCUGGAUAUUGCAAGUUGAAGGUUUUCAAUCCCCGUAUAGGCAUGGAUGCACUGCAGAUCUACCCCAUCAGUCAAGCCAAUGCCAAUCAGAGAGCUGGCCGAGCUGGUCGAACAGGCCCAGGUCACUGCUUCAGGCUCUACACCCAGAGCGCCUACAAGAAUGAGCUGCUGACAACCACAGUGCCUGAGAUCCAGCGCACCAACCUUGCCAAUGUAGUGCUUCUGCUCAAAUCUCUGGGUGUACAGGACCUGCUGCAGUUCCACUUCAUGGAUCCACCCCCUGAGGACAACAUGCUCAACUCCAUGUACCAGCUGUGGAUUCUGGGGGCCCUGGAUAACACAGGUGGUCUGACCUCAACAGGACGUCUCAUGGUGGAGUUCCCAUUGGAUCCUGCGCUCUCCAAAAUGCUCAUUGUUUCAUGCGACAUGGGUUGCAGCUCUGAGAUAUUGCUCAUUGUUUCCAUGUUGUCUGUGCCUGCCAUCUUUUAUCGGCCUAAGGGCCGAGAGGAAGAGAGUGACCAAGUGCGGGAGAAAUUUGCUGUCCCAGAGAGCGAUCACUUAACUUACCUGAAUGUUUACCUGCAGUGGAAGAACAACAACUACUCUACUCUGUGGUGCAACCAGCACUUCAUUCAUGCGAAGGCCAUGCGGAAGGUGCGGGAGGUGCGUGCCCAGCUCAAGGACAUUAUGGUGCAGCAGCGGAUGAGCCUAGCAUCCUGUGGUACUGACUGGGAUGUUGUCAGAAAGUGUAUCUGUGCUGCGUAUUUCCAUCAAGCUGCAAAACUGAAAGGUAUUGGGGAGUAUGUCAAUAUCCGUACAGGCAUGCCUUGCCACCUGCACCCCACCAGCUCCCUCUUUGGCAUGGGCUACACGCCAGACUACAUUGUAUAUCAUGAGCUGGUCAUGACCACCAAGGAAUACAUGCAGUGUGUCACUGCUGUGGAUGGAGAGUGGCUGGCAGAGUUGGGCCCCAUGUUCUACAGUAUCAAACACGCUGGCAAGUCACGUCAGAUCAGGGUUGUGGGCCUGCAGAAAGUCUGCUGCUGCCCAGGCCUCUACCUGUUCCUGAUUUGCUGCUGCUUUACUGCAGGAGAACCGCCGCCGUGCCAAGGAGGAAGCAUCUGCCAUGGAGGAAGAGAUGGCUCUAGCUGAGGAGCAGCUGCGUGCGCGCCGAGAGGAGCAGGAGCGCCGUAACCCAUUAGGCAGUGCAAGAUGUACUAAAAUCUAUACACCUGGACGGAAGGAGCAGGGGGAGCCCCUGACACCACGACGCACCCCAGCCCGCUUUGGCCUCUGAGAAGGGAGUGCACAUUGCUUCGAGGCAUAAAGACAUCCCAAGAGCAGCUGAGUCUUAGGGCUCAGUUCCUCUGACUGCUGUGAGGCUCUCUACACCUUGUGGCCCAGGAAGGCUUUGAUCCUUGGCACUAUUUUUGUUACAGAACAGAAACAAUUUUAUUUGUUUAAAGGUUGUCAGUCUUUAA